GUAAUCGGAAUGAGUACACUCUAAACCCUUUAACGAGGAUCAAUUGGAGGGCAAGUCUGGUGCCAGCAGCCGCGGUAACUCCAGCUCCAAUAGCGUAUAUUAAAGUUGUUGCGGUUAAAAAGCUCGUAGUCGAAUUUGUGUCCCGCGCCGCCGGUUCAUCGCUCGCGGUGUCAACUGGCGUGUCGCGGGACGUCCUGCCGGUGGGCUUAGCUCUUCGGGGCGGCCCAAUCUCAAUCCCAUCGCGGUGCUCUUCAUUGAGUGUCGAGGUGGGCCGGCACGUUUACUUUGAACAAAUUAGAGUGCUUAAAGCAGGCUAAAACAUCGCCUGAAUACUGUGUGCAUGGAAUAAUGGAAUAGGACCUCGGUUCUAUUUUGUUGGUUUUCGGAACUCCGAGGUAAUGAUUAAUAGGAACGGAUGGGGGCAUUCGUAUUGCGACGUUAGAGGUGAAAUUCUUGGAUCGUCGCAAGACGGACAGAAGCGAAAGCAUUUGCCAAAAACGCUUUCAUUGAUCAAGAACGAAAGUUAGAGGUUCGAAGGCGAUCAGAUACCGCCCUAGUUCUAACCAUAAACGAUGCCAGCUAGCGAUCCGCCGACGUUCCUCCGAUGACUCGGCGGGCAGCUUCCGGGAAACCAAAGCUUUUGGGUUCCGGGGGAAGUAUGGUUGCAAAGCUGAAACUUAAAGGAAUUGACGGAAGGGCACCACCAGGAGUGGAGCCUGCGGCUUAAUUUGACUCAACACGGGAAACCUCACCAGGCCCGGACACCGGAAGGAUUGACAGAUUGAGAGC
rnacentral:rRNA from 1 species